UACGUAGGGACCGAGCGUUGUCCGGAUUCAUUGGGCGUAAAGAGCUCGUAGGCGGCUGCUCAAGUCGAAUGUGAAAACUCGAGGCUCAACCUCGAGCCUGCAUUCGAUACUGGUUGGCUUGAGUUUGGGAGAGGGAUGCGGAAUUCCAGGUGUAGCGGUGAAAUGCGUAGAUAUCUGGAGGAACACCGGUGGCGAAGGCGGCAUCCUGGACCAAUACUGACGCUGAGGAGCGAAAGCCAGGGGAGCAAACGGG
rnacentral:rRNA from 1 species